rnacentral:rRNA from 1 species
AGUGAACGCUGGCGGCGUGCUUAACACAUGCAAGUCGAACGGAUUAAAGAAGCUUGCUUCUUUGAUUAGUGGCGCACGGGUGAGUAACACGUAGCUAAUCUGCCCCAUAGUAAGGGACAACAGUUGGAAACGACUGCUAAUACCUUAUACUCCUUCUUAACCUAAGUUAAGUCGGGAAAGUUUUUUCGCUAUGGGAUGAAGCUGCGGUCUAUCAGCUAGUUGGUGAGGUAAUGGCUCACCAAGGCUAUGACGGAUAGCUGGUUUGAGAGAAUGAUCAGCCACACUGGAACUGAGACACGGUCCAGACUCCUACGGGAGGCAGCAGUGGGGAAUUUUACACAAUGGGCGAAAGCCUGAUGUAGCAACGCCGCGUGGAGGAUGAAGGUUUUCGGAUUGUAAACUCCUUUUAUUAGGGAAGAAAUUUGACGGUACCUAAUGAAUAAGCGCCGGCUAACUCCGUGCCAGCAGCCGCCGUAA